ACGGAAGGCAGCAGUGGGGAAUAUUGCACAAUGGGCGAAAGCCUGAUGUAGCGACGCCGCGUGAGCGAAGAAGUAUUUCGGUAUGUAAAGCUCUAUCAGCAGGGAAGAAAAUGACGGUACCUGACUAAGAAGCACCGGCUAAAUACGUGCCAGCAGCCGCGGUAAUACGUAUGGUGCAAGCGUUAUCCGGAUUUACUGGGUGUAAAGGGAGCGUAGACGGCUUAGUAAGUCUGAAGUGAAAGCCCGGGGCUCAACCCCGGGACUGCUUUGGAAACUAUUGAGCUAGAGUGUCGGAGGGGCAAGUGGAAUUCCCAGUGUAGCGGUGAAAUGCGUAGAUAUUGGGAGGAACACCAGUGGCGAAGGCGGCUUGCUGGACGAUGACUGACGUUGAGGCUCGAAAGCGUGGGGAGCAAACAGGAUUAGAUACCCUGGUA
rnacentral:rRNA from 1 species